AUUGAACGCUGGCGGCAGGCCUAACACAUGCAAGUCGAACGAGUGGCGGACGGGUGAGUAAUGUAUGGGAAACUGCACGAUGGAGGGGGAUAACGACUGGAAACGGUAGCUAAUACCGCAUACCAUCGGAUGUGCCCAGAUGGGAUUAGCGUUGAGGUGAGGUAACGGCUCACCUAGGCGAAGAGCCCUAGCUGGUCUGAGAGGAUGACCAGCGACACUGGAACUGAGACACGGCCCAGACGCCUACGGGAGGCAGCAGGUGGGAAUAUUGAAAAAUGGGCGAAAGCCUGAUGCAGAAAUGCCGCGGGUAUGAAGAAGGCCUUCGGGUUAUAAAGUACUUUCAGCGGGGAGGCGUUACCCGCAGAAGAAGCACCGGCUAACUCCGUGCCAGCAGCCGCGGUAAUAC
rnacentral:rRNA from 1 species